rnacentral:ncRNA from 1 species
UUUUAGCACUAGGGGAGCUGUGAAAGCGGCUGAGAAGAAAUUUAUUCUGACCCUUUGAACCCGAACUGGAUAAUACCAGCGUGGGGAAGUGUGGUCGAAGCGUG